rnacentral:lncRNA from 1 species
AAAGUGGGAUCUGUUUUUCUCACAAAGUCUUCCAUGACUAUAUAUCAAUGACAUAGAGAGGAGUCCUGCAUUUGAAGAAUGACAACAAAAAAUAUAUAUAGUGUUACAAUAUAAAGUCAAAGGAUUUAAGAAUUAUCUGUUAUCCAUUAGUUAAUGAUGACAGUAUAGCCAAGAUUGCUUGAUUUCCUUUUCUGGAAAUAUGAAAUCAAGAUGGCGAGAUUUCUCUCAGAACUAACACAUCUAGAAUCUCAUUCUAUAUCGAAUGAUGUAAGAUAUGAUUUCUAUUAUUAGUUUUCAGUUUACCUUAUCAGGUGAUAAAUAUAAAGUUUAUCAUAUUGUCCAUCUUUCUUUUUACAAAAACAUUUCACCUUACCUAGGUGUACACAUCAAAAACAAAAGGAAUCUGUGUUUUCCUUUAAAUAUAUGCACUUAAAAAUAAUACAAAGAACUCACAUGGAGGUUUUCCCUACAUUGUACAUAUUGAAAAAACCUAUAUGGAAUAGCAUUUGUAAACCAGAUAGAAUGUUCACAGGUAUACAUAUCCUACACAUUAAACCAAGUGUGUAAAAACCAUUGCAUUCUGUUUUGUAACUCUAGCCACAAAAUAGAAUGGAAAAAAAUGUCUACCACUAUUACUAUAAAGAGAAAAAUUCACAUCUUAGGUAAAAAGAAAGAUAUCCUCAUUACAAAUUUUAUAUGAGAAAAGAACUAAUAUUAGUCUAAAAUUUAGUAGUCAGAAAUCAUUAUAAAGAAAGUUAAUUGGUGAUGGUGUGCCUCUCUCUAAAACACUGUAUGGCCCUGUUUAUUUUCAGAACACAACAGAAUUGGGAAACUGCAUUAAAAACUAUUACAAUUCCCUGAAAUUUAGAGAGAGUUUUAGAAAAUGUCCUUGGAUCAAUGUAAGGUGGUCAAAAUUUCAAGACAGUUUCCUUGACGAAUUGCUUGACAUCAUGAAAUGUUUCAAGCAAACAAAAGCUCACAACAAAAUGAUUAAAUGAUUAAAAUGAUGCUCACAACAAAAGUUUAAAAGGUAAGACAUUUAACUAUGAUGACUAAUUCUAUAAUUUAAAAAUUCCCAGAAAGCACUUAGAAAAAAAUUAAUAUGCGAUAUUUUACAAGUCUGAUUUGUAACCUAGUCCCGUGACCACGUAACCAUGGCAACUCACAUUGUGAAGCUAUUGAGCUUCUUUUGCUGGCUCCAUUCAUUCCCC